AACGAACGCUGGCGGCGUGCCUAACACAUGCAAGUCGAGCGAGAAAGGGGCUUCGGCUCCGAGUAAAGCGGCGCACGGGUGCGUAACACGUGGGUAAUCUUCCUCCGGGUUGGGAAUAACUCUUCGAAAGGAGAGCUAAUACCGAAUAAGCCCACGUCUCCUUCGGGGGAUGUGGGAAAAGGUGGCCUCUGCAUGCAAGCUAUCGCCUGGAGAUGAGCCCGCGGCCCAUCAUGCUAGUUGGCGGGGUAACGGCCCACCAAGGCUACGACG
rnacentral:rRNA from 1 species